CGGGGGGAGCAAGCGUUGUUCGGAUUUACUGGGCGUAAAGGGCGCGUAGGCGGCGUGACAAGUCACUUGUGAAAUCUCCGGGCUUAACCCGGAGCGGCCAAGUGAUACUGUCGUGCUAGAGUGCGGAAGGGGCUACUGGAAUUCUCGGUGUAGCGGUGAAAUGCGUAGAUAUCGAGAGGAACACCUGCGGCGAAGGCGGGUAGCUGGGCCGACACUGACGCUGAGGCGCGAAAGCCAGGGGGAGCGAACGGGAUUAGAUACCCCGGUAGUCCUGGCCUUAAACGAUGGAUACUUGGUGUCCGGGGUUACAUAGUCCCCGGGUGCCGGUCGCUAACGCAUUAAGUAUCCGCCUGGGGAGUACGGUCGCAAGACUG
rnacentral:rRNA from 1 species